rnacentral:rRNA from 1 species
GAUGAACGCUGGCGGCGUGCCUAAUACAUGCAGGUCGAGCGAACAGACGAGGAGCUUGCUCCUCUGACGUUAGCGGCGGACGGGUGAGUAACACGUGGAUACCUACCUAUAAGACUGGGAUAACUUCGGGAAACCGGAGCUAAUACCGGAUAAUAUAUUGAACCGCAUGGUUCAAUAGUGAAAGACGGUUUUGCUGUCACUUAUAGAUGGAUCCGCGCCGCAUUAGCUAGUUGGUAAGGUAACGGCUUACCAAGGCAACGAUGCGUAGCCGACCUGAGAGGGUGAUCGGCCACACUGGAACUGAGACACGGUCCAGACUCCUACGGGAGGCAGCAGUAGGGAAUCUUCCGCAAUGGGCGAAAGCCUGACGGAGCAACGCCGCGUGAGUGAUGAAGGUCUUCGGAUCGUAAAACUCUGUUAUUAGGGAAGAACAAAUGUGUAAGUAACUAUGCACGUCUUGACGGUACCUAAUCAGAAAGCCACGGCUAACUACGUG